rnacentral:rRNA from 1 species
UGGGGAAUCAUGGUCAAUGGGCGAAAGCCUGAACCUGCGACGCCGCGUGGAGGAUGAAGGGCUUUCAGCUUGUAAACUCCUGUAAAGAAGGAAAAAAUUCCCAUUAGAUGGGAAAUGAUGGUACUUCUAAAGUAAGCCCCGGCUAACUACGUGCCAGCAGCCGCGGUAAUACGUAGGGGGCAAGCGUUGUCCGGAUUUACUGGGUGUAAAGGGUGCUCAGGCGGAUUUGUAAGUCAGAGGUGAAAUCUCACAGCUUAACUGUGAAACUGCCUUUGAUACUGCAAGUCUAGAGUAUGGAAGAGAGUGAUGGAAUGUCUGGUGUAGCAGUGAAAUGCGUAGAUAUCAGAUAGAACACCAAUGGCGAAGGCAGUCACUUGGUCCAUUACUGACGCUAAAGCACGAAAGCGUGGGUAGCAAACA